rnacentral:rRNA from 1 species
AGGACGAACGCUGGCGGCGUGCUUAACACAUGCAAGUCGAGCGGAAAGGCCCUUCGGGGUACUCGAGCGGCGAACGGGUGAGUAACACGUGAGUAAUCUGCCCCUAGCUCUGGGAUAGCUCCGGGAAACCGGGAUUAAUACCGGAUACGACCACUUUAGACAUCUGUUGUGGUGGAAAGAAUUUUGGCUAGGGAUGAGCUCGCGGCCUAUCAGCUUGUUGGUGGGUAACGGCCUACCAAGGCGACGACGGGUAG